AUUUAGUAUCGGCCUAUGUGGCCAAGAACAAGCGUAGUAUCUGUUCUUAUCAGCGUAAUAUCUGAUAUGUCCUUUAUUUAAUUACUCAUUCACUGACACUCAGAACUACUU
rnacentral:snRNA from 1 species